AGCUACGGCCAUACCACCCUGAAUGCGCCCGAUCUGGUCUGAUCUCGGAAGCUUAGCUGGGUGGGGCCGUUUAGUAUUUGGAUGGGAAACCGCCUGGGAAUACCAGGCACUGUUGGCUU
ensembl:rRNA 5S_rRNA 5S ribosomal RNA